CGUUCGUCCUCAGUGCAGGGCAACAGGUGGAUUAAAGCAGCACCACCAUCAUCAGAUAAUGACUCAACUCCUGAGAGGCCUGGGGAGUGAUGGGUUUGUGAACCCUUAGAAGACUUAAGGUUACUCUUUUAAAAAAAAGAUUUGCAGAGACACCAUGACCUGACCCAUGUGGACAGCUGCAAGGACAAAGGAUUUCUACACCAAGAAGUUUGCAACAAUCAACCAUAACCCCUCC